rnacentral:rRNA from 1 species
ACUGCUAUCGGGGUCCGACUAAGCCAUGCGAGUCAAGGGGGCGUCCCUCUGGGACACCACCGGCGGACGGCUCAGUAACACGUCGGUAACCUACCCUCGGGAGGGGGAUAACCCCGGGAAACUGGGGCUAAUCCCCCAUAGGCCUGAGGUACUGGAAGGUCCUCAGGCCGAAAGGGGCUCUGCCSGCCCGAGGAUGGGCCGGCGGCCGAUUAGGUAGUUGGUGGGGUAACGGCCCACCAAGCCGAAGAUCGGUACGGGCUGUGAGAGCAGGAGCCCGGAGAUGGACACUGAGACACGGGUCCAGGCCUACGGGGCGCAGSAGGCGCGAAACCUCCGCAAUGCGGGAAACCGCGACGGGGGGACCCCGAGUUCGUGGCAUCGCCACGGCUUCUCCGGAGUGUAAAAAGCUCCGGGAAUAAGGGCUGGGCAAGGCCGGUGGCAGCCGCCGCGGUAAUACCGGCGGCCCGAGUGGUGGCCGCUAUUAUUGGGCCUAAACCGUCCGUAGCCGGGCCCGUAAGUCCCUGGCGAAAUCCCACGGCUCAACCGUGGGGCUUGCUGGGGAUACUGCGGGCCUUGGGACCGGGAGAGGCGGGGGUACCCCUGGGGUAGGGGUSAAAUCCUAUAAUCCCAGGGGGACCCCAGUGGCGAAGGCGCCCCGCUGGAACGGGUCCGACGGUGAGGGACGAAGGCCAGGGGAGCAAACCGGAUUAGAUACCUGGGUAGUCCUGGCUGUAAAGGAUGCGGGCUAGGUGUCGGGUGAGCUUCGGGCUCGCCCGGUGCCGUAGGGAAGCCGUUAAGCCCGCCGCCUGGGGAGUACCGGCCGCAAGGCUGAAACUUAAAGGAAUUGGCGGGGGAGCACUACAAGGGGUGGAGCGUGCGGUUUAAUUGGAUUCAACGCCGGA